CCUACGGGAGGCAGCAGUAGGGAAUAUUGCUCAAUGGGGGAAACCCUGAAGCAGCAACGCCGCGUGGCGGAUGAAGGUUUUCGGAUUGUAAACUCCUUUUGUUAGAGAAGAUAAUGACGGUAUCUAACGAAUAAGCACCGGCUAACUCCGUGCCAGCAGCCGCGGUAAUACGGAGGGUGCAAGCGUUACUCGGAAUCACUGGGCGGAAAGAGCGCGUAGGCGGGAUAGCAAGUCAGAUGUGAAAUUCUAUGGCUUAACCAUAGAACUGCAUUUGAAACUGUUAUUCUAGAGUAUGGGAGAGGUAGGUGGAAUUCUUGGUGUAGGGGUAAAAUCCGUAGAGAUCAAGAGGAAUACUCAUUGCGAAGGCGACCUGCUAGAACAUAACUGACGCUGAUGCGCGAAAGCGUGGGGAGCAAACAGGAUUAGAUACCCGAGUAGUC
rnacentral:rRNA from 1 species